rnacentral:tRNA from 1 species
GGGCGCAUAGCUCAAUGGUUAGAGCACUCGGCUUAUAUCCGAGCGGUUCAUGGUUCGAGUCCAUGUGCGCCCA